rnacentral:rRNA from 1 species
UACGUAGGAGGCGAGCGUUGUCCGGAAUUACUGGGCGUAAAGAGCGCGUAGGCGGCUUGGCAAGUUGGAUGUGAAAGCCCAGGGCUCAACCCUGGAAUUGCAUUCAAGACUGCCUUGCUUGAAUUCGGUAGAGGUUGGUGGAAUUCCCAGUGUAGAGGUGAAAUUCGUAGAGAUUGGGAAGAACACCUGUGGCGAAGGCGGCCAACUGGACCGACAUUGACGCUGAGGCGCGAAAGCGUGGGGAUUAAACAGG